ACACGGACCAAGGAGUCUAACAUAUGUGCAAGUUAUUGGGAGAUAACCUAAUAGCGUAAUUAACUUGACUAAUAAUGGAUUAGUUUUUUAACUAUUUAUAGAUAAUUAACACAAUCCCGGGGCGUUCUAUAUAGUUAUGUAUGAUAAUAUUUAUAUUAUUUAUGCCUCUAACUGGAACGUACCUUGAGCAUAUAUGCUGUGACCCGAAAGAUGGUGAACUAUACUUGAUCAGGUUGAAGUCAGGGAAACCCUGAUGGAAGACCGAAACAGUUCUGACGUGCAAAUCGAUUGUCAGAAUUGAGUAUAGGGGCGAAAGACCAAUCGAACCAUCUAGUAGCUGGUUCCUUCCGAAGUUUCCCUCAGGAUAGCUGGUGCAUUUUAAUGUUAUAUAAAAUAAUCUUAUCUGGUAAAGCGAAUGAUUAGAGGCCUUAGGGUCGAAACGAUCUUAACCUAUUCUCAAACUUUAAAUGGGUAAGAACCUUAACUUUCUUGAUAUGAAGUUUAAGGUUAUGAUAUAAUGUGCCCAGUGGGCCACUUUUGGUAAGCAGAACUGGCGCUGUGGGAUGAACCAAACGUAAUGUUACGGUGCCCAAAUUAACAACUCAUGCAGAAACCAUGAAAGGCGUUGGUUGCUUAAAACAGCAGGACGGUGAUCAUGGAAGUCGAAAUCCGCUAAGGAGUGUGUAACAACUCACCUGCCGAAGCAACUAGCCCUUAAAAUGGAUGGCGCUUAAGUUGUAUACCUAUACAUUACCGCUAAAGUAGAUGAUUUAUAUUACUUGUGAUAUAAAUUUUGAAACUUUAGUGAGUAGGAAGGUACAAUGGUAUGCGUAGAAGUGUUUGGCGUAAGCCUUCAUGGAGCUGCCAUUGGCACAGAUCUUGGUGGUAGUAGCAAAUAAUCGAAUGAGACCUUGGAGGACUGAAGUGGAGAAGGUUUCGUGUGAACAGUGGUUGAUCACGAGUUAGUCGGUCCUAAGUUCAAGGCGAAAGCCGAAAAUUUUCAAGUAAAAAAUCAGUGAGUAAUAUUGUCAAAUCUUUUAUGAUUUUUAAAUACUUGAAUAAUUUUGAACGAAAGGGAAUACGGUUCCAAUUCCGUAACCUGUUGAGUAUCCGUUUGUUAUUAAAUAUGGGCCUCGUGCUCAUCCUGGCAACAGGAACGACCAUAAAGAAGCCGUCGAGAGAUAUCGGAAGAGUUUUCUUUUCUGUUUUAUAGCCGUACUACCAUGGAAGUCUUUCGCAGAGAGAUAUGGUAGAUGGGCUAGAAGAGCAUGACAUAUACUGUUGUGUCGAUAUUUUCUCCUCGGACCUUGAAAAUUUAUGGUGGGGACACGCAAACUUCUCAACAGGCCGUACCAAUAUCCGCAGCUGGUCUCCAAGGUGAAGAGUCUCUAGUCGAUAGAAUAAUGUAGGUAAGGAAGUCGGCAAAUUAGAUCCGUAACUUCGGGAUAAGGAUUGGCUCUGAAGAUUGAGAUAGUCGGGCUUGAUUGGGAAACAAUAACAUGGUUUAUGUGCUCGUUCUGGUAAAUAGAGUUUCUAUCAUUUAUGGUAGUUACUUGUUCCCGGAUAGUUUAGUUACGUAGCCAAUUGUGGAACUUUCUUGCUAAAAUUUUUAAGAAUACUAAUUGGGUUAAACCAGUUAGUUCUUAUUAAUUAUAACGAUUAUCAAUUAACAAUCAAUUCAGAACUGGCACGGACUUGGGGAAUCCGACUGUCUAAUUAAAACAAAGCAUUGUGAUGGCCCUAGCGGGUGUUGACACAAUGUGAUUUCUGCCCAGUGCUCUGAAUGUCAAAGUGAAGAAAUUCAAGUAAGCGCGGGUCAACGGCGGGAGUAACUAUGACUCUCUUAAGGUAGCCAAAUGCCUCGUCAUCUAAUUAGUGACGCGCAUGAAUGGAUUAACGAGAUUCCUACUGUCCCUAUCUACUAUCUAGCGAAACCACAGCCAAGGGAACGGGCUUGGAAUAAUUAGCGGGGAAAGAAGACCCUUUUGAGCUUGACUCUAAUCUGGCAGUGUAAGGAGACAUAAGAGGUGUAGCAUAAGUGGGAGAUAUUAGAUUUCGGUUUGGUAUCGACAAUGAAAUACCACUACUCUUAUUGUUUCCUUACUUACUUGAUUAAAUGGAACGUGUAUCAUUUCCUAGCCAUUAUACGGAUAUAUUUAUUAUAUCUUAUGGUAUUGGGUUUUGAUGCAAGCUUCUUGAUCAAAGUAUCACGAGUUUGUUAUAUAAUCGCAAACAAAUUCUUUAAUGAGAAAAUGCAUUUAUGUAUUUUCAAUUUGAAAAUUUGGUAUAACUCCAAUUACUCAGGUAUGAUCCAAUUCAAGGACAUUGCCAGGUAGGGAGUUUGACUGGGGCGGUACAUCUCUCAAAUAAUAACGGAGGUGUCCCAAGGCCAGCUCAGUGCGGACAGAAACCACACAUAGAGCAAAAGGGCAAAUGCUGACUUGAUCUCGGUGUUCAGUACACACAGGGACAGCAAAAGCUCGGCCUAUCGAUCCUUUUGGUUUAAAGAGUUUUUAACAAGAGGUGUCAGAAAAGUUACCAUAGGGAUAACUGGCUUGUGGCGGCCAAGCGUUCAUAGCGACGUCGCUUUUUGAUCCUUCGAUGUCGGCUCUUCCUAUCAUUGUGAAGCAAAAUUCACCAAGCGUUGGAUUGUUCACCCAUGCAAGGGAACGUGAGCUGGGUUUAGACCGUCGUGAGACAGGUUAGUUUUACCCUACUAAUGACAAAACGUUGUUGCGACAGCAUUCCUGCGUAGUACGAGAGGAACCGCAGGUACGGACCAAUGGCACAAUACUUGUUCGAGCGAACAGUGGUAUGACGCUACGUCCGUUGGAUUAUGCCUGAACGCCUCUAAGGUCGUAUCCGUGCUGGACUGCAAUGAUAAAUAAGGGGCAAUUUGCAUUGU
rnacentral:rRNA from 1 species